rnacentral:rRNA from 1 species
UACGUAGGGUGCGAGCGUUGUCCGGAAUUACUGGGCGUAAAGAGCUCGUAGGUGGUUUGUCGCGUUGUUCGUGAAAACUCACAGCUUAACUGUGGGCGUGCGGGCGAUACGGGGCAGACUGGAGUACUGCAGGGGAGACUGGAAUUCCUGGUGUAGCGGUGGAAUGCGCAGAUAUCAGGAGGAACACCGGUGGCGAAGGCGGGUCUCGUGGGCAGUGAACUGACGCUGGAGACGCGAAAGCGUGGGGAGCGAACAGG